UACAGAGGAGCCAAGCGUUGUCCGGAUUGACUGGGCGUAAAGCGCACGCAGGCGGAUGCGCGCGUGGGGUGUGAAAUCUGGCCGCUUAACGGCCAGGCGCCAUCCCAUACGGCGCGUCUGGAGCCUUGCAGAGGUCGGUGGAAUUGCCGGUGUAGUGGUGAAAUGCGUAGAUAUCACUUGGAACGCCAAUGGUGAAGACAGCUCGCUGGGGGUGUCCUGACGCUGAGGCGCGAAAGCCAGGGGAGCGAACGGG
rnacentral:rRNA from 1 species